UCCACAGGCUCAGGUGCAGGUGAGUGUCCAGUGGGAAGGCAAGUUCUGCCACAGGAACUGAUGCCAACACAAGGGAGUACUACACAUACUUGCCUUGGUGGAGUAAUUUCAUGCUUUGCUCCGAGGAGCUGGCAAAGAAGUCUGAAAAUUUGCUGAAUGUGAUAAAAAGAUACAGCUUUGGCAAUUUGAACAAAAAUAGGGUGUUUAUUUAAAGGGGAAAAACAAAGGGGAGGUAAGAAAAAAGACGAAAGGAAAGAAAGAAAAAAGGAUAAAGUCCCAGGCCCAAGGAUUGAGGAAAUCUCUAGCUGAACUGGCGUCUGGCCCCAAGGCAAGAACCCAAGGGCAUUUCAGUGAAUGCACUUAGUCUGCCCUCAAAUCUGGAAUAAGGUCUCUAAAAAGAGAUAUUGACCAAAAUCUGCAGUGUGGGGUCCCCUGCUGUAGCUAAGUCACAGUCCCAGGAACAGUAAAAGACAGCAAAGACAGCUCUUCAGGCCAGGCUGCCCCUUUGAUGUUCCCAGUCCCCUCAGUCUGUACUUGCAGUUCUGCCCCCAUAGUCUCUGGUGAUUUGUGCUAGUAGAUGAUGAGGUAAGAUCUUCUUUCCCAGAGUGUGCUGUCAUUGGGGUGGGAUGAUAUCUCUGAGGUUUUUGAUGGGAAGCUCUCUCAUUAGUAUGCACCAUUGCUGUGGCAUCAAGUAACCAGUUCAACCUGGAGUGGGUUAGAAAUUGUCUGUAAAAUGCUGCAUGCUGUUGGUGAGAGGAAACUGCACUGGGACCUUUGAAAGUAUAAGGCUACUUAGAAGAGAUCAUUAAAUUUACAAAUAAUGUAAAUAGGUUAAGAACAAAGGAUUAUGAAAAUAAUAUGGUUCUUAUUUUGCUACCUAUUUUAACAGGACUGUUAAACAUUCAAUUGGAAUGUACUGAAUAACUAGUAUAACUUUAUAAUGAUUUUAAAAUAUUUACUUCAUUAACUUGAACACUUUUAUUUGAUCAAAUUAGUAACUUUAAACAGUUAUAAAUGCAAAAGCUAAUUAACGGUUACAAAUGUAAAACAGUCACUAAUGCAGAAGCCAUUUAAGGGGUUUUAUAAAUUGCAAUGUCUCCCUUUUCCCCUUAUGUUAAUAAUUGGCUUUUGCAUUUACACAAAGGUGGAUAGUUUUUCGUUGAUAGUGUUUAAUUGUUUAGAAUUAACCUAAACUUGCUGGGCCUUUUUACUCUUUUUUCUAUCUCUUUCGAUUGGGUUGAGAUUCAUGAUUCUCUUGACAGGUGGGGUAGAAUGUUGGCUCGUUUGAAGAUUUUGAAUAGCGAACAUGCUUUGUACUACUGAGGGAUCACACCAGGGAGGACUGUUGUAGAGAGUAGUUCCUGGAGGUUUCUCAUCAUCUUGUGGUGGUGUUACUGGACCUUUUACUCGGCUGACGGAAGUGCACCCUUUUUCCUGUGCUCGGAUGGCUGUUUCUGUGGUCAGUUGAACUUGGAAAGGACCUUCCCCUGAUGGAGUCAGGGAUUGUUCCUUCCUGCAUUUAAUAAGUACCUACUCUCCGGGGCAUAUCUUAUGUAAAUAGAAGUCUAAAGGAAUGUUCUGGGGUACAAGACCUCUCUCCUUUAAGUCUUUUAGAUUCUGGGCAAUCUUUUGAAUAUACCUUUGCACAUUUCUAUUUCCUCACUCUUUGGCAGUUGCUUGAUGCGGGGUGGCUAAAUAGGGAAGCCCAUAUAACAUUUCACAUGGGGAACAACCUAAGUCAGCUCUGGGUUGGCUCUGGAUUCUGAGAAGUGCAAGGGGUAGGCACUUUAUCCAAGUCCACUUCAUUUCUAACAUCAGUUUGGUCCGGGUUGUUCUAAUAGUCUGAUUCAUGCGUUCUACCCUUCCUGAACCUUGAGGGUGCCAGGGGUAUGUAAUUUCCAAGUUAUUCCAAAUUGAGCCAAUUGUUGCAAUACUAAUGAUGUAAAAUGGGUACCUUGGUCUGAAUCAAUGUAAUUUAUAAUUCCAUAUCUUGGGACUAUCUGUUCUAGGAUUACCUUACUUACUGUUUGAGCAGUGGCAUUAACAGUUGGAAAUGCUUCAACCCCAUUGGUAAGGUGAUCUACAAUCACUAAGAAAUACUUCCAUCUUUGGACAUGGGACAUUUCUGUGAAAUCAAUUUGAAUACUUUGGAAGGGUCUAAUUGCAAUUUCAAUUCCUCCAGGUCUUGUUCUCCUCGUUAAUUUUCUAUUGAAUUUUUGGCAAAUUAUACAACCUAUGGUAAUUUGAUUAGCUAAUUCAUCAAUUCCCUGACAUCCAAAAUUUUGAAGAAAGUUACCUGCUAAAGCUUUAGGUCCCCAGUGCAUGGAUUGUGGAGGUUCUGUAAAAUUUCUCGAAUGAGCUCUUUAUUUAACAUUUGGUGGCCAUCAGGAAGAUGCCACCGUCCCUCGGAAUCUUCCUUUCCACCUAGUGAUAUGAGUUUCUGUUUUUCAUUGUCUUUAAAAAUAGGGAUAGGAAGGGUGUUGUCCAGUGUACUCUCGGGUGUGUCUCUUGGAUAAAAUCUGUAUACCUUUACUUCCCCCUCAAAAGCAGCCUCCUUUGCAGCAUGGUCUGCUAGGAUGUUUCCUCUGGUUUCUCCAGAGAUCCCUUUUGAUGACCUGGAACACGUACCAUUGCAAUUUCUUUCGGUAACUUAAGUGCCUCUAAUUUUUAAUAUAAGUUCUUUGUGUAAAAUGUCUUUGCCCUUAGAUCUGAGAAACCCUCUUUCAGCCCAGCUUUUCCCGAACGUGUGGACUACUCCAUAUGCAUAUUUAGAGUCAGUAUAAAUGGUUCCAAUAGCUCUGUCUAGUCUGUGCAAUGCUUUUUCCAAAGCAUCUAAUUCACAUACCUGGGUAGACCAGGAAGGUGGUAGUUUUCCUUUUCUAACAUGUACAGUUGUUUUCCAUCUCUGAUGGAGUAUCCAGAGCACCUCUUUCCAUUUACUACUCUACAUGAUCCAUCGAUGAACAGGAUUUCUCCUUCAUCUAAUGGGCUCUCUAGGAGGUCUUCUUGAAUUUUUGUUUGCAGGUUUAUAAAAACUAUGCAGUUGUGCAUGAGAUCUUGUUUUUGGGGAUUCAGCAUAGGAACUGUGUGGGAUUGGUGUGGGUGGUUGUUUUCAGGGUUACAUUUGUGGAAUGGAUGAGGGUGCUCCCAUAUUGUGUAAUAUGAGAGUCUGUUAGCCAUUCGGCUGCUCGUUGUUUAAGAAUGGUUUGGAUGGAGUGUGGUAUGUAUUCUAUCAGAUUUCUCUCAAAUGUAAGUUUUUGCCUGGCUGUUACUAGGAUGGCUGCUGCAGCGAUUGAUUGGAUGCAUGUUUGCCAUCCUUGGGACACAGGGACCAACAAUAUGGACAAGUAGGCUACAGGUUUAUGAAAUCCUGACCACUCUUGGGCCAAGACCCCGUAAGUAAUUCCUAUAUAGGUUUAAUAUAUAGGUGAAAAUCUUCUUCUAGUGAAGGAAGAAAGAGAACUGGGGUCUGAAUCAUGUUUUGCUUUAAAUUGUCUAAGUUUUUAUUAUCCUCUUGGGUCCAAUUAAUAGGUUCUGAUGUAGUUAGUUUUUCAUAUAAAAUUGUGACACUUUGUGUGUGUUAAUCAAUCCAUAUUCUACAAUACCUCCUUAAGCCUAAUAAUUGUCUAACCUCGCUCUUUUUUUGUGGAGGUUGUAAAUUUAAAAUUCCUUCUAUCCUUUCAGUACUCAAUUUUCUGGUACCAUGACCAAUUACAUGUCCGAAAUAUUUUACUUCGGUUUAACAAAUUGUAAUUUGGAUUUAGAUACUCUUAGUCCAUUCUCUCCUAGAAGGUUCAGUAAUUGAUUGGUGCCUAAUUUUACAGUGGAUUCUUGCUCUCUGGAGAGUAGUAUGUCGUCUACAUACUGUGUUACUUGUGUUCCUGAGGGUGGAGAAAAGGAAAUGAACAGCCUCUCCAAGGCCUGACCGAAGAGUGUGGGAGACUCCAUGUACCCUUGCAGUCGCCAGGUCCAGGUGAGCUGCUGUUUCCUUCCAGUGUCUGGAUCUUCCCAGGUGAAGGCAAACAGGUGUCUAGAAGGAGAAUCUACAGGGCAUGACCAAAAUGCAUCCUUCAGGUCAGUUACUGAGAACCAAGAGUGCGUAGGUGAUAACUUAACAAGGUGUAAGGGUUUUGUACUAACAGGCACACAGCUUGCACUCUUUUAUUUACUUCACGUAGGUCUUGAACUAGCCUGUAGCCAUUGUCAGGCUUUUUAAUAGCAAGAAUGCUGUGAUGUAUGUGGAAGUACAUGGCUCUAGUAUGUUAUCAUGUCACAGUUCGGUUAUUAUGGGUUUUAGCCCAUACCUUUUGGUCUUUGUAAGGGGGUGCUGGGGUACUUUUGCUGGUUUAAUAUCUGGAAGGAGAUUAAUUACAAUGGGUGUAAUGUCCAUUUUAUCCCAGUUACCUGGUCGGGCCUACACUGUAGGAUUAAUCAGUUGUUCAUCUUGUGUGGAUAAAGUAAACAAUUUGACCUUCAUCCUUCCUUCUUGUGGAACUACUCCAACUUUCAAAGGUAUCUGGAGAUCCCGGCCAAGUAAGUUGUUACCUGCUGGAGGUAGAAAAACAAAUCUCCAUUUCUGGUUAGUCCAUUACCCUUUAUAGUGACAUUCAUAAUGAUGGGGAUGGGGAAGGAUUCCCCUUUAGCAGCACAAAUAUUGAAAGUGUCUUUGCUUAUGGCACAUCUAUUUCGUUUUUCACUUACACAAGUUCUCUCUGCUCCUGUGUCUACUAAAAAUUCCAUUAAUUGUACUUGGGGUCCUAUUCUUGAUUUUAUCAAGGGCUCUUGAAGAUGGUUUUUGUGCCCCAAGAAGAAGAGCCCCUGACCCCCUCAGUUCUCUGAGGGUUGAUUCUCCACUUAGAGAAUCUCUUAAGUCCCUCAAUGUCUUAAAACAGCAGGAUUGCAUAUGGUCUUCUUUCUUACAAUAAAAGCAAAUAGGUUUCUUCAAUUGAAUAUUCUCCCCAUCCUGCCUAAUUGGUUUAGGAAUUUGGACAGCAGCCAUCAUCUUAGCUUUAGUCUUCAUUUUCUCUUCAUUUCACCUGGCAUAAACUUACUGUGCUUCAGCUAAUAACUCAUCUAAACUCCUUUCUGGCCAUCUAAUUUCUCUAAUUUCCAUUUUAUGUCAGGCCAAGAAUGUAACACAAAGUGGACCUAGAACAUUGUCUUCCCUCCUUCACUAUCUAAAUAUCUUUCUAAAGAUAAUUGGAUAUUAUUCUUUAGGCGAGUUAUACAGUCAGUUGGGCUCUCAUCUUUUUCUUGUUCGCUACCAAAGGCUUUCUUCAUGUUAUUAACUCUGGGGACUGCCUCUUUUAUUCCCCUUACAAUUCGGGUUCUGUAUUCUGCUAUACAUUUUCUUCCCUCAUCUGAGAUAGGGUUCCAUUCUGGAUCUGUUAACGGUAAUUUCUUCUCUCCAGUUGUUCCUAAAUUAUGUUCUCUGUCCCAUAUAUUGAUCCCUGCAGUCUAAAUAACUUUUCUCUUCUCUGGAGAGAAAAGGGUUUGCAUUUUUGAAUUUCAUUUGCCCCUAGGGUAAAUCCUAGGGCCUAAGAACUGGUAAACUUUUUCUGACAAACCUACUGGAUCACUGAAUGAUAUCUCCAUUUCCUUUUUAAAAUGCCUCACUUCUGAAGAGGUGAGGGGUUCAUUUCCAUGUCCUAUUCCACCUUGUACACCCCCCCCCCCCUCAUUGUGACCUCUCUGAGGGGUGGCACCUUUGUUUUAUCUUUACUGCUGGAGCAGGAGGAACAUUUUUGUACUGCCAGGGUUCUCCUUCAAGUGAAGAAGCCUGGACCUUCUUGAUUGGAUGGAACUUCCUGCAUGGCUGAAUUUGUAAUUUGCCUGGAGGAUGAUGAUAGAAUAUACGUUUCUUCUGAUGUCCCACUGCUACUUUCAACUUCUUCAGCCCUCUCAGUUACAUGAGUCGUUGAAGCCUCCAAUGACUCACCUGCAGUUGCAACUGGUUCGUUAGGAGGUGCAGUAGGGGGCAGGAAAUUUAAUGGGUCCCACCUUGGUUGAUUGGUUUUCCUUGUUGUGUCUUUAUCAUUGAUCAUUACAGAGAGAAUUUGGUAUGUUUUAUCUGUUUCUACUUCCUUUUCGCUGUUCCAAUAUUUAAAUCAGACCUCCACAUACUGCAAUCCAAGUCUGCAUUUAAUUUAUUUUGGACGUAAUUGUAAAGUACUUUGCAAAUCCACAUCCUGGUAGACCCAUGCUUCAGCCAGCGCAGACCUUAUUUUAAUUUCUUCUUUGGCCAUUCAAACAUGCAAUGCACAAUCUUGAGCCAUGGGUCUUUAUCUUUAGUAAGUUGAUGUCCUUCCCAUUGUUUUAACAUGGUUCCCAAGGGAUUCUCAGGGAAGAUUCUGUAUUUCUGUAAUUGCUUGUUGUUCUUCCUAUGCUUUUGUCCUAUGCUUUUGUCUGAUAUUAUGGGGGGAAAAUAAAUUAAUAAAUAUUUAAUUAACCAAGGUGAGUAUAAUGAUUUGAAUAGAGAUGCUGUAUUACAAUGUUGAGAAAAAUGAAACCUUGGGAAUUAAAAAGAAAUGAAAACUAAACCACUCAAUAUGGCUGUUGUCCAUCUGUGGGAAAAGGUAUGAUCCCUCCCUGUGGGUAUGAUCCUGUGUGGGUGGAUCAUUGGGCCUUUCCAAAUGACAAAUUAGAAGCACUCCACGCCCUAGUGUGACAACAAUUAUUAAAAGGACACAUUGUACCAUCAACUAGCCCCUGACCCCUG